AGAGUUUGAUCCUGGCUCAGAAUCAACGCUGGCGGCGUGCCUAACACAUGCAAGUCGCACGAGAAAGGGGCUUCGGCUCUGAGUAAAGUGGCGCACGGGUGAGUAACACGUGAAUGAUCUACCUCCGAGUGGGGAAUAACUGAGAGAAAUCUUAGCUAAUACCGCAUAAUACCCACGGGUCAAAGCCGCAAGGCGCUUGGAGAGGAGUUCGCGGCCGAUUAGUUAGUUGGCGGGGUAAUGGCCCACCAAGACGAUGAUCGGUAUCCGGCCUGAGAGGGCGCACGGACACACUGGAACUGAAACACGGUCCAGACUCCUACGGGAGGCAGCAGUGGGGAAUUUUGCGCAAUGGGGGAAACCCUGACGCAGCAACGCCGCGUGGAGGAUGAAGUAUCUUGGUACGUAAACUCCUUUCGAUGGGGAAGAUAAUGACGGUACCCAUAGAAGAAGCCCCGGCUAACUUCGUGCCAGCAGCCGCGGUAAUACGAGGGGGGCAAGCGUUGUUCGGAAUUAUUGGGCGUAAAGGGUGCGUAGGCGGUUUGAUAAGUCUGAUGUGAAAUCUCUGGGCUCAACCCAGAGUCUGCAUUAGAAACUGUCGGGCUUGAGUAUGGGAGAGGUGAGUGGAAUUUCCGGUGUAGCGGUGAAAUGCGUAGAUAUCGGAAGGAACACCUGUGGCGAAAGCGGCUCACUGGACCAUAACUGACGCUGAGGCACGAAAGCUAGGGGAGCAAACAGGAUUAGAUACCCUAGUAGUCC
rnacentral:rRNA from 1 species